GGAAUCUCCCAUAUCCGCACCUGACACGUACAAAGGCAAACGCAAAGAUGCAAAGAUGCAGAACUCAGGCAAAUAGCUCUUGUGUUGGUUUACUCACAGAAGCAUCCUCUGAACAAGAAGCGAUUAUGUUGUCAUGAAAAGGAUUCCAUUUGAUGUCCAGCACAUUGCCUUGGUGACCGCAGACCUUCGGAUAGUGAGGGUCGAUACGGCCAAACUGCAAGAGAGAAGUAUAGUUUCCAUUCAACAACUGAAGCUCCUUUGUCAUAAGAGGAAUUCCAUCUGAAAAGUCAAUGUUCUGCAACUAUAUCGCUCCCAUGUGUCUGGCUUUCAAGCAUGAUAAUUGCUUAUUCUUAAUCAGACAGUUGUAUCUGUAAUAUAGACUAAUGUCUUGGGUUGAAUAAACACAUUUGAAAGAUUUAAUAAACUACAUACACACAUUACAACAAACACAAAAUUGCAUUAAACUGCCAAACUCUCUCUCUCUCUCUCUCUCUCUCUCUCUCUCUCUCUAUAUAUAUAUAUAUGGUUAUAAAGUGAUAAAAGGUAAACACAUUAAAACAUAUUGGUUACAUAAUGCAGCCAAAGAUGACCUGUAGCUUCACAGUGAUUUCUCUGAUCUCUAUGGCAAUUUCUAAGUAUUACAGUAAGUAUUUAAACGUCACAGGGAGCUUUCAGUGCUAAACAGAGAAAGACAGACACACAAGGGAGAUGCAGGAUCAAGAAGCUGGGAAAAAAUAGCUCCACAUGGCGUCCAAAUAAACACAUAUGCGGAAGUCAGAGGGACUAAACUCUUUUCCAAGGCCGUGGAGCACAUUUGGAGUCUCAAACACUCUGGAUUAAGCACAUUAAGGGCACAAAGCUGGCCUUCUACAUCACACAUUAACUAGGCGGCUCUGAAUGGUCAUCACAAAAGUGCUAUUGAUAGUUUAUCCAAGUUGUCUGAGAUCAUGACCGAGAGUCUGCAGGCCCACUGGGCAGUGUAGCAUGACCGGAUGCACUAAAGAGGAGGGACAGAAGAAUAGACUGAUAAAGAGCGGAGAUAAUAGAAGAAUGGGACACUGUCAUAUCAAUGAUAAACAGAGUGAGAGAAUUUUUUUCCUGUGGUUUUUGUACAUUCUGUCCACUUGCUGUGGAAGUGGAAUUUUGGAGGCACAUUUAAAUUCACUAACUUUGCAUUUCGUAUCUUUAGGACUCAUGUAUACAAAAAUAUAAUAACUUAAAGGGAUAGUUCUCACUCAAAAAAUAUGUUGGGAUUUUCCAUUUACUUACCCUCAUGAUGUUCCGAAUCGGUAUUCGCUUGUUAAGUCUGACGUCACGUAGCAGCGCUUCCGUGUC